rnacentral:rRNA from 1 species
CCUACGGGAGGCAGCAGUAGGGAAUCUUCCGCAAUGGACGAAAGUCUGACGGAGCAACGCCGCGUGAACGAUGAAGGCCUUCGGGUCGUAAAGUUCUGUUGUUAGGGAAGAACAAGUGCUAGUUGAAUAAGCUGGCACCUUGACGGUACCUAACCAGAAAGCCACGGCUAACUACGUGCCAGCAGCCGCGGUAAUACGUAGGUGGCAAGCGUUGUCCGGAAUUAUUGGGCGUAAAGCGCGCGCAGGCGGUUUCUUAAGUCUGAUGUGAAAGCCCCCGGCUCAACCGGGGAGGGUCAUUGGAAACUGGGAAACUUGAGUGCAGAAGAGGAAAGUGGAAUUCCAAGUGUAGCGGUGAAAUGCGUAGAGAUUUGGAGGAACACCAGUGGCGAAGGCGACUUUCUGGUCUGUAACUGACGCUGAGGCGCGAAAGCGUGGGGAGCAAACAGGAUUAGAUACCCUGGUAGUCCACGCUGUAAACGAUGAGUGCUAAGUGUUAGAGGGUUUCCGCCCUUUAGUGCUGAAGUUAACGCAUUAAGCACUCCGCCUGGGGAGUACGGUCGCAAGACUGAAACUCAAAGGAAUUGAGG